GACGAACGCUGGCGGCGUGCUUAACACAUGCAAGUCGAACGGAAAGGCCCUGCUUUUGUGGGGUGCUCGAGUGGCGAACGGGUGAGUAACACGUGAGUAACCUGCCCUUGACUUUGGGAUAACUUCAGGAAACUGGGGCUAAUACCGGAUAGGAGCUCCCGCUGCAUGGUGGGGGUUGGAAAGUUUCGGCGGUUAGGGAUGGACUCGCGGCUUAUCAGCUUGUUGGUGGGGUAGUGGCUUACCAAGGCUUUGACGGGUAGCCGGCCUGAGAGGGUGACCGGCCACAUUGGGACUGAGAUACGGCCCAGACUCCUACGGGAGGCAGCAGUGGGGAAUAUUGCACAAUGGGCGGAAGCCUGAUGCAGCAACGCCGCGUGCGGGAUGACGGCCUUCGGGUUGUAAACCGCUUUCGCCUGUGACGAAGCGUGAGUGACGGUAAUGGGUAAAGAAGCACCGGCUAACUACGUG
rnacentral:rRNA from 1 species